rnacentral:rRNA from 1 species
UCCUACGGGAGGCAGCAGUUUCGAAUCAUUCACAAUGGGCGAAAGCCUGAUGGUGCGACGCCGCGUGAGGGAUGAAGGUCUUCGGAUUGUAAACCUCUGUCACCGGGGAAGAAACGCUUCAUUUUAAUAGAAUGAAGCCUGACUUAACCCGGAGAGGAAGCAGUGGCUAACUCUGUGCCAGCAGCCGCGGUA